CAAUAGCGUAUAUUAAAGUUGUUGCAGUUAAAAAGCUCGUAGUUGGAUUUCUGGUGGGAGCGAUCGGUCUGGCGCUUAGCGCGAGUACUUGCAUCGUCUCCGGCCAUCCUUGGGGAGAGUCUGUCUGGCAUUAAGUUGUCGGGCAGAGGAUCCUCAUCGUUUACUGUGAAAAAAUUAGAGUGUUCAAAGCAGGCUUAUGCCGUUGAAUAUAUUAGCAUGGAAGAAUAAGAUAGGACUUUGGUACUAUUUUGUUGGUUUGCGCACCAAAGUAAUGAUUAAUAGGGACAGUUGGGGGUAUUCGUAUUCCGUUGUCAGAGGUGAAAUUCUUGGAUUUACGGAAGACGAACUACUGCGAAAGCAUUUACCAAGGAUGUUUUCAUUAA
rnacentral:rRNA from 1 species